rnacentral:rRNA from 1 species
UACGUAGGGUGCAAGCGUUUGUCCGGAAUUAUUGGGCGUAAAGAGCGUGUAGGCGGCCCGAUUAGUCCGCUGUGAAAGUCCAGGGCUCAACCCUGGAAUGCCGGUGGAUACUGUUGGGCUAGAGUCCGGAAGGGGCGAGUGGAAUUCCUGGUGUAGCGGUGAAAUGCGCAGAUAUCAGGAGGAACACCAAUGGCGAAGGCAGCUCGCUGGGACGUGACUGACGCUGAGACGCGAAAGCGUGGGGAGCAAACAGG